rnacentral:rRNA from 1 species
AGUGAACGCUGGCGGUAGGCCUAACACAUGCAAGUCGAACGGCAGCACAGUAAGAGCUUGCUCUUACGGGUGGCGAGUGGCGGACGGGUGAGGAAUACAUCGGAAUCUACUUUUUCGUGGGGGAUAACGUAGGGAAACUUACGCUAAUACCGCAUACGACCUACGGGUGAAAGCAGGGGAUCUUCGGACCUUGCGCGAUUGAAUGAGCCGAUGUCGGAUUAGAUAGUUGGCGGGGUAAAGGGCCACCAAGGCGACGAUCCGUAGCUGGUCUGAGAGGAGGAUCAGCCACACUGGAACUGAGACACGGUCCAGACUCCUACGGGAGGCAGCAGUGGGGAAUAUUGGACAAUGGGCGCAAUCCUGAUCCAGCCAUACCGCGUGGGUGAAGAAGGCCUUCGGGUUGUAAAGCCCUUUUGUUGGGAAAGAAAAGCAGCAGGUUAAUACCCCGCUGUUCUGACGGUACCCAAAGAAUAAGCACCGGCUAACUUCGUG